UACGUAGGUGGCAAGCGUUAUCCGGAUUUACUGGGUGUAAAGGGAGCGUAGACGGCAGGGCAAGUCUGGAGUGAAAGGCAGGGGCCCAACCCCUGGACUGCUCUGGAAACUGUCCGGCUGGAGUGCAGGAGAGGUAAGUGGAAUUCCUAGUGUAGCGGUGAAAUGCGUAGAUAUUAGGAGGAACACCAGUGGCGAAGGCGGCUUACUGGACUGUAACUGACGUUGAGGCUCGAAAGCGUGGGGAGCAAACAGG
rnacentral:rRNA from 1 species